rnacentral:rRNA from 1 species
CCAGACUCCUACGGGAGGCAGCAGUGAGGAAUAUUGGUAAAUGGGCGAGAGCCUGAACCAGCCAAGUCGCGUGAAGGAUGACGGCCCUACGGGUUGUAAACCUCUUUUGUCAGGGAGCAACGCCGGCUACGUGUAGCCGGACUGAGAGUACCUGAAGAAAAAGCAUCGGCUAACUCCGUGCCAGCAGCCGCGGUAAUACGGAGGAUGCGAGCGUUAUCCGGAUUUAUUGGGUUUAAAGGGUGCGCAGGCGGAUUUUUAAGUCAGCGGUCAAAUCGUGGGGCUCAACCCCAUCCAGCCGUUGAAACUGGGGAUCUAGAGUGUGCGAGAGGUGUGCGGACUGCGUGGUGUAGCGGUGAAAUGCAUAGAUAUCACGCAGAACCCCGAUUGCGAAGGCAGCAUACCGGUGCACAACUGACGCUCAGUCACGAAAGCGUGGGUAUCGAACAGGAUUAGAUACCCUGGUA